UAUAUAUAUAUAUAUGUGUGUGUGUGUGUGUGUGUGUGUGUAUAUAUAUAUACACACACACACACACACACACACACACACAAC